UGACCGGACACCUGAGCCCGAGAAAGCGCGAGUGCAGUGAAUAGCAGCAGCAGUGACAAUAGCAGUGAAUAGCAGCAGCAGCAACAAUAGCAGUGAAAAGCAGCAGCAGCAACAAUAGCAGUGAACGGCAGCGGCAGCGAUAAUAGCGAGCAACAGCAGCAGCAGCAAUAGUAGCGAACAGCCGCAGCAGCAGUCCUAGCAACAAAAGCAGCAGCAGCAACAGCUACAACAACGGCAGGGGCAACAGCAACAGCAGUAGCAGUAGCUACAGCGGCGUUAGUGGUGCUAGCCGCAGUCACGUUUACCUUAAAAAGGUGCCAGACACUCGUUCAAUGGAAUUUUGUGGACGAACAUCAAUGUCUUCUACACUUGUACACAACGUAAAGUAUUAUUAUUCGGCUUCAGACACACUGUUAUUUCAGGCUCUAAGACUUUACGACGGAAUUUAUCAAUGUCUUCAAUUUCGUAACUGCCCACAGGUAUUGAAUUGAAUGUUAAAAACUAUGAAGCCUAAAAUGUAUUUUUUAUUUGCUACUAAUUCAAUGGAUGGAAAGAAAAAUCACCAGUAAGAGUAAAAGUAAAUGAUUCCUCCGUGACUGUCUAAAUAUGACUGAUCAUUUUUUGCUGUGUCCUAAGUUAUAUAGCCCCACACAAAAACUGCAAACGUUCCUGACCACAGAUAUAAGUAUUGACAUCUUGAUAUCUUUUUGGAUUGUAGUUAACCUCAUCAACACCCAGAUAUGUCAUUAGAUUAAAUAGAGGUCUAAGAUUUCCAAAGCUAUUAAAAUAUAUGACGUUAUUUCCGAUUUUUCGAUAAGCAACCUAGUGAGUGCCUGUUCCCUCAACGUCGUCGAGAUCAAUUAUAACUGAUUCCUGUGGUUCAGACUUUGCUUUUGUGAUUCCUGCAACUCCACCAACUAGAGCACCAGUUACGCUUAAACCAGCAAAAAGGGAAAUGAAAAAAGGCAGAGCUUCACCCAUCUUCUUUGAAAAUGUUAGAAUUCGCGGAGUCUUGAUAUUAGCUUUUCCACUAAUUUUUUUAACGGCUUCACGAGCUCUUUUUAGACUAGCAUCAAUGAUUGUUCAAACACACUUACUUUUUGGCCAUUUUAAAUUGGCAGCUUUAAUUUUGUAUUUUAAGUUCAUUGACUUUUGGCGUUUCUUUUUGUGAACCUAUUGACUUGGUUUUAUGUUUUUUUUUUAUCUUGAGUUUCAUACCGAAUUUAUAUUUUUACUUCAUAACGUUAAUUACAAUGUAACCAGAUGCUUUUUCAUUAAUACCAAAAUUUUCAUCGAUCAUUCGAUUUUUUAAAUAAGUUAUACCUGCUCUCUGCAAG